rnacentral:tRNA from 1 species
GCAUCCAUGGCUGAAUGGUUAAAACGCCCAACUCAUAAAAAAAAUUCUAAAACUCCCAACUCAUAAUUGGCAAAUUUAUAGGUUCAAUUCAUACUGGAUGCA